AUUUACACGAGGAAACUUGACUACUUAGAUACAGCAACAUAUAGAAUUAAAGGCGCUGGGAAAGCAAAUGAAAAUAAUACUUACAUAUACAAAGAACGAAAGAAUGAAGUUCUCCCUAUAGUAAUCCUGUCACAAGUGCAACAAAAGAUUCCAUGUUUGGCUAUUCCUCCAUUUUUGCUUCAACAUAGGCUCUCUGCUUUGUUGUCAAAGAUAUUUUAUUUGAGACGGUAUGGUCCUCCCGUUCUUUAGUAUAAAAAGAAUGAUUGUAUCUCAGCUAAUGUGAAUUUUACUAUUUACCUCAGCCAGACUUUGAGUCCGACGUGUUGGCAGCCUAUUAUGUCUAUAACCUGAGGGCUGUGAUCUUUGGGCUCGACCAAAUAUUCUUUGGAUGAAAUCCUGUAUGUGAUUAUAAAUGCUAAGGCGAUGCCUAUUACAGGCUGUA
rnacentral:misc_RNA from 1 species